rnacentral:rRNA from 1 species
CCGGCCCGCCGGCCGGACCGGCGCGACGGGUGAGUAACACGUAUGCAACCUGGCCGCCACAGGGGGAUAACCCGCGGAAACGCGGCCUAAUACCCCGUGACGCCACCGGAGGGCAUCCUCCGGGUGGCCAAAGGAGCGAUCCGGUGGCGGAUGGGCAUGCGGCGCAUUAGCUAGACGGCGGGGUGACGGCCCACCGUGGCGACGAUGCGUAGGGGUUCUGAGAGGAAGGCCCCCCACACUGGGACUGAGACACGGCCCAGACUCCUACGGAAGGCAGCAG